ACGGAAGGCAGCAGUGGGGAAUAUUGCACAGUGGGCGCAAGCCUGAUGCAGCGAUGCCGCGUGAGGGAAGAAGGUUUUCGGAUUGUAAACCUCUGUCAACAGGGACGAAAAUGACGGUACCUGUGAAGGAAGCUCCGGCUAACUACGUGCCAGCAGCCGCGGUAAUACGUAGGGAGCAAGCGUUAUCCGGAAUUACUGGGUGUAAAGGGAGUGUAGGCGGGACUGUAAGUCAGAUGUGAAAUAUGCCGGCUCAACUGGCAGACUGCAUUUGAAACUGGGGUGCUUGAGUGAAGUAGAGGUAAGCGGAAUUCCCAGUGUAGCGGUGAAAUGCGUAGAUAUUAGGAGGAACAUCAGUGGCGAAGGCGGCUUACUGGUCUUUAACUGACGCUGAGGCUCGAAAGCGUGGGGAGCAAACAGGAUUAGAUACCCUGGUA
rnacentral:rRNA from 1 species